rnacentral:rRNA from 1 species
AUUGAACGCUAGCGGAAUGCUUUACACAUGCAAGUCGAACGGCAGCGCGGACUUCGGUCUGGCGGCGAGUGGCGAACGGGUGAGUAAUGCAUCGGAACGUGCCCAGUAGCGGGGGAUAACUACUCGAAAGAGUGGCUAAUACCGCAUACGCCCUACGGGGGAAAGGGGGGGAGUCGCAAGACCUCUCACUAUUGGAGCGGCCGAUGUCGGAUUAGCUAGUUGGUGGGGUAAAGGGCCUACCAAGG